rnacentral:rRNA from 1 species
AUACGGAGGAUGCGAGCGUUAUCCGGAUUUAUUGGGUUUAAAGGGUGCGCAGGCGGCCAUUUAAGUCAGCGGUUAAAUCGUGGGGCUCAACCCCAUCCUGCCGUUGAUACUGGGUGGCUUGAUUGCGGUCGAGGUUGGCGGAAUUCGUUGUGUAGCGGUGAAAUGCAUAGAUAUGACGAAGAACACCGAUUGCGUAGGCAGCUGACCAGACCGCAAAUGACGCUCAUGCACGAAAGUGCGGGGAUCGAACAGGAUUAGAUACCCUGGUAGUCCGCACAGUAAACGAUGAAUACUUGUUUUCGGCGAUAUAAUGUCGGAGGCAAAGCGAAAGCGAUAAGUAUUCCACCUGGGGAGUACGCCGGCAACGGUGAAACUCAAAGGAAUUGACGGGG